CCCUUGCGGAAGUAGAGCUGUCCUCCGACAGGCCAACUGUAAUUAAGGCAGACUAGGACCUCAAUGUGUUACCAAAGACAUUUUUGGAGUCAUUUUUGUCUUAUAAACCAACACUGAGGCAAAGACGGCAGGCAGGAAAAUCCUCUAACUAGUCCCAGGCCAGGUCUGUAAGGUUAUUAGCGGGAAGUAACGAUAAAGCCCAAGAGGAAAAAUGAGGGACACAAAGUCUGGUUGGACGUGAGUGUGAACGCUGUGGGACGCACUUUGAACGUUCAACAUGGGGAGAAACAGGAAGCAGCUCUGAUCCAAUCAGAGCGCAGCGUUUUGUCACAGUGAAGCCGACGCCUCGACGUGUUGCUGUGCCGUCGUCGUGGCAACAGGCUCAGCGAAUAAUCCCGUUAGAUGCUUGAGUGUUUGCACGUGGACGGCCUCCACCAGCUGGCGCCGCAAUCCGGUGGGGACGGCGGGACAGGAGGACGACCUUUGACCCCUCCACCCAGAUGAACCCAGAAUGUUCCCAUCAUGGACCCUGGUUCUGGUUCUGGUUCUGGUUUCGGUUCCGCCUCAGACCCAGCUGCAGUCUGACCAAACUGGACCGGACCGGGGAUCCAGUGUCUCCCUGACCCCGGGUCGCC